GAUGAACGCUGGCGGCGUGCUUAACACAUGCAAGUCGAACGGUGAAGGCGGAGCUUGCUCUGCCGGAUCAGUGGCGAACGGGUGAGUAACACGUGAGCAAUCUGCCCCUGACUCUGGGAUAAGCGCUGGAAACGGCGUCUAAUACUGGAUACGAGCUGCGAAGGCAUCUUCAGCAGCUGGAAAGAAUUUCGGUCAGGGAUGAGCUCGCGGCCUAUCAGCUUGUUGGUGAGGUAAUGGCUCACCAAGGCGUCGACGGGUAGCCGGCCUGAGAGGGUGACCGGCCACACUGGGACUGAGACACGGCCCAGACUCCUACGGGAGGCAGCAGUGGGGAAUAUUGCACAAUGGGCGAAAGCCUGAUGCAGCAACGCCGCGUGAGGGACGACGGCCCUCGGGUUGUAAACCUCUUUUAGCAGGGAAGAAGCGAAAGUGACGGUACCUGCAGAAAAAGCGCCGGCUAACUACGUG
rnacentral:rRNA from 1 species